rnacentral:rRNA from 1 species
AUUGAACGCUGGCGGCAGGCUUAACACAUGCAAGUCGGACGAGUGGCGGACGGGUGAGUAACAUAUCGGAAAGUACCUAGUAAAGGGGGAUAACUACUGGAAACAUUAGCUAAUACCGCAUACCAUUCGAGCGGCCGAUAUCUGAUUAGCUGGUUGGUGGGGUAAAGGCUGACCAAGGCGACGAUCAGUAGCGGGUCUGAGAGGAUGAUCCGCCACACUGGAACUGAGACACGGCCCAGACUCCUACGGGAGGCAGCAGUGGGGAAUUUUGGACAAUGGGCGCAAGCCUGAUGCAGCCAUGCCGCGUGUCUGAAGAAGGCCUUCGGGUUGUAAAGUACUUUUGUCGGGGAAGCGGUACCAGAAGAAUAAGCACCGGCUAACUACGUGCCAGCAGCCGCGGUAAUAC